rnacentral:rRNA from 1 species
GAUGAACGCUGGCGGCGUGCCUAAUACAUGCAAGUCGAGCGAACGCACGAUAAGCUUGCUUCUCUGAUGUUAGCGGCUGACGGGCGAGUAACACGUGGAUCAGCUACCUAUAAUACUGGGAGAACUUCGGGAAACCGGAGCUAAUACUGGCUCAUAUUUUGAACCGCUUGGUUCAAAAGUGCAAGACGGUCUUGCUGUCACUUAUAGAUGGAUCCGCACUGCAUUAGCUAGUUGGUAAGGUAACGGCUUACCAAGGCAACGAAGCCUAUCCGACCUGAGGGGGUGGACGGCCAACACGGAACCGAGGCCCCGGCCAGACUCCUACGGGGGGCAGGAGGAGGGAAUCUUCCGCAAUGGGGGGAAAGCUGACGGAAGAAAGCCGGGGGAGUUGUAGAGGGCUUCGGAGCGUAAAACUCUGUUAUUAGGGAAGAACAUAUGUGUAAGUAACUGUGCACAGCUUGACGGUAACUAAUCAGAAAGCCACGGCUAACUACGGG